rnacentral:rRNA from 1 species
UACAGAGGUCGCAAGCGUUGUUCGGAAUCAUUGGGCGUAAAGGGUGCGUAGGCGGCGCGGUAAGUCGGGUGUGAAAUCUCGGAGCUUAACUCCGAAACUGCAUUCGAUACUGCCGUGCUUGAGGACUGGAGAGGAGACUGGAAUUUACGGUGUAGCGGUGAAAUGCGUAGAUAUCGUAAGGAAGACCAGUGGCGAAGGCGGGUCUCUGGACAGUUCCUGACGCUGAGGCACGAAGGUCAGGGGAGCAAACGGG